rnacentral:tRNA from 1 species
UUCCUGGUGGUCCAGUGGUUAAGACUCUGUGCUCUCAAUGCAGGGAAGACAGGUUCAAUCCCUGAUUGGGGAA